UUUGGCUCCUCUUCAGGCUGUUGACCAGGGAAUGAUGCAAUUCCUUUGGCUCAUGUUACCUGAAUCUAGAUUCCUGUAGUCAAGAAUAAAUCUAACAUCAAUAUGCUUGCAAGCUGCUGCCAUGUACCGAAUGCGUCAGGAUAAAUAUAUGACUCCUAUGAGCAUACACACCAUGCUGACAGAUGGGAUCCAGCUGUUGAUCUUGGUGAGCAGCAGGACAGACGAGACCCACAUUGGAGCAGACGCUUCUCAGUGACAUCUAGGCCUAUUGCUGCAAUCCUAAAUAAAGAAAAGGGACAGAAUAAAAUGCUUUUGGACAGAAUCAGUCAACAUCCCCUUAAAUGUGACACACCAAUACUACUGAAGGAGCAGCUGAGGAAUCUGAUGGAGGAGUGUGCGAUAUCUCAGAGCUGGGGACACAGUCUGGGUGUGAGGACAGGUGACACAUUGCCCAGGGACAACUCUUAUACAGAGAUCCUGCCAGACAGCACCCCCCGUCUCUCUGACUCUAUCCUGUCAGAGCUGCUUGGAGAUGCAAACACCACCAGUUUUAGCCAUCUGGACAAAGCGACCACUAUGUGUUCAUCAUAGAGUAUUUACACAUUUGUUUGGUGUGACAAAUAUACAAAUGUGUAUAUUUAUAUGGUUACAUGGUGUUAACAACCAGACCUGCAGUCAUGUCACCAGAAGGGCAGCAAUAUGGAUUUCCAGACAGACUCUCCCACACCAACAAACACACAAUGACUGUACGAAUCACUGAGUCUUGUAAAACUGUGUAGUGUAUAAUCAUAAGAAUCUAGAGAAAUAACCAUAUUAUACAAGUCUUUUGAUGUUUGUCUAGGCUUUAUAAAAAUGUAUUUGUACAAGCUUUCUUAAAAAGCGUGAUACAGUUAGAAAAAUCUAAAUGAAUGAAACCUGUAACUGAUUUUUACUAGUGUCAAUUGCUCGAUUGUGCCUUUGUAGAAUGAGUGCUCCCCUAGGUCUGCGUAUUCCACUUGAGUAUUUAAUUUUCACUUUCCGGUACCUCCAAAUGAGGAGUCAGAACAGUAGGAGAGCCCAUUGUAUUAACCCUGCUAAUUUCGAAGAGAACAGACCAUUUAUGGUCUCAUUAAACUUAACAACCUAUA